rnacentral:rRNA from 1 species
UGUUCACCCCCUACAGGGAACGUGAGCUGGGUUUAGACCGUCGUGAGACAGGUUAGUUUUACCCUACUGAAGACCAUUGUUGUUGCGAUAGUAAUCCUGCGAAGUACGAGAGGAACCGCAGGUUCGGACAAUUGGUUCGCGCACUUGGUCGAGCGGCCAGUGGUGCGAGGCUACGUCCGUCUGAUUAUACCUGAAGGCCUCUGAAGGUAGAAUCGAUGCUGGAGGAAGGCAACGAUACGCCGCGAAACGGCUGCCGGGUGGCGUCAUGGUGACCCUCUCUUUCGAGAAGGUGCGCGUGAGCCACUAUCAGUCCUGUGCCGUGGCUGCAUAGGGGGGUAGCCACGGCCGCAAGUUUGAUGACUAAUUAGUCUUGGAGGUCGUUCGCCAAAUCAUCUGUAGACGACUUGGGUGCCGGCCGGGGUGUUGUACACGGUAGAGCAGUCAUUCACACUGCGAUCUUUUGAGACUCAACCUCUGACCGGAAGAUUUGUU